CCAUAUAUACACAAGGAUCCACCAUACUAUUACAAGUCCCCACCACCACCUUCACCAUCUCCUCCACCACCAUACUACUACAAAUCUCCCCCACCCCCUUCACCGUCUCCUCCACCACCAUACUACUACAAAUCUCCUCCUCCUCCAUCUCCUAUUCCCAAAACACCUUACUACUACAAAUCUCCCCCACCCCCUUCACCAUCUCCUCCACCACCAUACUACUACAAAUCUCCCCCACCCCCUUCACCGUCUCCUCCACCACCAUACUACUAUAAAUCUCCCCCACCACCGUCACCCUCUCCACCACCACCUUACUAUUACAAGUCUCCUCCCCCACCUUCACCAUCUCCUCCACCACCAUACUACUACAAAUCUCCUCCUCCUCCAUCUCCUAUUCCCCAUACACCUUACUAUUACAAAUCUCCCCCACCACCUUCACCAUCUCCUCCACCACCAUACUACUACAAAUCUCCUCCUCCUCCAUCUCCUAUUCCCCGUACACCUUACUAUUACAAAUCUCCCCCACCACCUUCACCAUCUCCUCCACCACCAUACUACUACAAAUCCCCUCCUCAUCCAUCUCCCAUUCCCCAUACACCUUACUAUUACACAUCUCCCCCACCACCUUCACCGUCUCCUCCACCACCAUAUUACUACAAAUCUCCUCCCCCUCCGUCUCCUAUUCCCCACACACCUUACUACUACAAGUCCCCACCACCACCAAAGGUCCUUCCACCACCAUACUAUUACAAUUCUCCUCCUCCACCUGUUGUGUAUCCUCACCCAUAUCCCUACCACCACUCACUUAUUGUGAGGGUAGUCGGUAAAGUCUACAGCUUCAGAUGUUAUGAUUGGAAUUAUCCUGCAAAGUCUCAUAACAAGAAACAUCUCAAAGGUACAUUACAUUUCUUAGGACCGGACCUCUUUAGAGUAAUGUGUUUAGAGAUAAUGCACAAUUUUUUAUUUUUUUAUCUCGUAAAGGUUUAUUUAUUAUAAUCACAAUUUCACUUUUGUCAAAAAGAAAAACAAUUUUACUAUAUAUAGUUUUAAUCAUUAACAUUUUGAUGUAAAAAGAAUACAAUUCUCUAUUACCUUUUUACUAUGAUAUAUAUACAAAGAUUAUUCAAAUCUAUAUAUCCAACCUAAUUUCCAUCCAAAAAAAUAGAAAACAUAGGGUGCUUUGAACGCCUGCAGCAUCACAUGAAUAAAUAAAAACAAUCAAUAAUCAACCUUGUUCUAAUUUAUUUUAGACAGCGAUUGUUAAGCAUACUGCUCUUUUAAUUACAUUUUUUUUAAAGAUGCUCUUUUAAUUAUAUUGUCCUAAUAUAAUAUGUGUCUUUAUAUAUUACUUGUCGUAAACUAAUUUUAUUAUGGGUGCAGGAGCUGUUGUUGAGGUGACAUGCAAAGCCGGGAGCAAAAUUGUCAAGGCUUAUGGAAAAACUAAGAACAAUGGAAAGUAUGCCAUCACAGUUAAGGACUUUGACUAUGUCAAAUAUGGUUCGACAGUGUGCAAGGCUGCCCUAUAUGCUCCACCUAAGGGUUCACCCUUCAACAUACCUACAAAGCUAAAUCAAGGAACAAAGUUGUACUUGAAAUCCAAAGACAAGUACGAGGUUGUGCUCAAGGCUAAGCCAUUUGCUUAUGCUUCAAAGAAACAUUUCAAAGAAUGUGAGAAGCCUAAGCCUUCACCAACUCCUUACUACUACAAAUCACCUCCACCUCCCUCACCAGUUUACAAAUACAACUCACCACCUCCACCGGUCCAUUAUUAUUCACCUCCAUACACCUACAAGUCACCUCCUCCCCCUGUGAAAGCGGCACCAACUCCUUACUACUACAAAUCACCUCCACCACCCGCACCGGUUUACAAGUACAACUCACCCCCUCCACCGGUCCAUUAUUAUUCACCACCAUAUACCUAUAAGUCACCUCCUCCCCCUGUGAAAGCGGCACCAACUCCUUACUACUACAAAUCACCUCCACCUCCCGCACCGGUUUACAAGUACAACUCCCCACCUCCACCGGUCCAUUAUUAUUCACCUCCAUAUACCUACAAGUCACCUCCUCCCCCUGUGAAAGUGGCACCAACUCCUUACUACUACAAAUCACCUCCACCACCCGCACCGGUUUACAAGUACAACUCACCACCUCCACCGGUCCAUUAUUAUUCUCCACCAUACUACUACAAGUCACCACCCCCACCAUCUCCAUCACCUCCUCCACCAUACUAUUUCAAAUACUAUUACAAGUCCCCACCUCCACCAUCACCAUCCCCUCCUCCACCUUAUUAUUACAAAUCUCCUCCUCCACCAAAACAAAUUUCACACCCUCCAUACUACUAUAAGUCACCACCCCCACCAUCACCAUCACCUCCUCCACCAUACUAUUAUAAGUCUCCACCUCCACCAUCACCAUCUCCCCCACCACCUUAUUAUUAUAAGUCACCACCCCCACCAUCCCCGUCCCCUCCUCCACCAUACUACUACAAGUCUCCACCUCCACCUAAAGAAAUAUCACAUCCUCCAUAUAACUAUAAGUCACCACCCCCACCAUCACCAUCCCCUCCCCCUCCAUACUAUUACAAAUCUCCUCCACCACCAUCACCAUCACCACCACCUCCCUACUAUUACAAAUCACCUCCACCACCAUCACCAUCACCUCCCCCUCCAUACUAUUACAAAUCUCCUCCACCACCAUCACCAUCACCACCACCUCCUUACUAUUACAAAUCACCUCCACCACCAUCCCCAUCACCACCACCUCCAUACUACUACAAAAGUCCCCCUCCACCAUCUCCAUCUCCUCCAUCCCCAUAUUACUACAAAUCUCCACCACCACCAUCACCAUCCCCACCCCCUCCCUACUAUUACAAAUCACCUCCACCUCCCUCACCAUCACCGCCACCUCCUUACUAUUACAAAUCACCUCCACCUCCCUCACCAUCACCGCCACCUCCUUACUAUUACAAAUCUCCCCCACCUCCAUCUCCAUCUCCACCACCUCCUUACCACUAUCAAAGUCCUCCUCCACCAUCUCCCAUUUCUCAUCCUCCCUACUACUACAAAUCCCCUCCACCACCAUCGCCGUCUCCUCCACCUCCUUACCACUAUGUGAGUCCUCCCCCACCAGUAAAGUCACCUCCACCACCAACUUAUAUCUAUGCUUCACCACCACCACCUCACUACAACUAAGCUCAAAGAGCAGAAGCUCCGUUCAUUAUAAAUCAUGUAAGUUUAUCAUCUUCAAUUUUCUGAAUGUGUGCGUGUGUAUUUGUUUUUUUGUUACAAGAUACUAACAAAAUUCUUUUCUUAUUUAUGUUCAGGUUUUAGUUUUCAUCUAGGAAUAAAGGCAAGCUCCAUUUGGAGUAAAGUGAAACUUCUAGCUUCGUGUCCGAAUUCGUUAAAUAAAUGUCGGGAUGUAUCGUCUUUGAGCUAUAAUAUUUCUGAUCCAGACAAUAUCUAUUUUGUUUCUUUGGUGGCAAUCUUGCACUUCCUGGUCUUAGUCUAUUCAAGUGACAGACAAAUCAAAAGGGAGAAGCGAGAUUAAUUUAUUUGUGAUCUCUUUGAUUUAUUUGUGCAUAUAUCAAUAUGAACGUGUAUGAUAUUUUUCUAUUUAUUGAAGAUUUUUUUACUGUAACCUGUUAUUGUGUUUGUCAAAAGGUGUUAAUAAAGAAUCACAUUCAAUUUCUGUUAAAUUAUCAGUAUUUGUUUCUUUCUAACAACUACCAUUCAUGCAAAUGUGGCUAUUAAAAAAAGCUCCAAUGACACAUAAAAAGCUUCCAAACAAUAUAUAAACAAAGAUGCAUUGUUUUCUGUUAAGAAGGGGACAGGGUUACGGUUACUUGUGUACCAAGUUAGUUAUCCAUGCUUUCUUGUUCAUAGGAUUUAUAUGGUGUAGUUGCACUUAGUUGCUAAAUGUAUGCAAGCUUUUCCUUUCUAUAAAUAAGCACACCUACUAUCAUUCUUCUCCACAUUCCUUUCUACUCUUCUAUCAUGAAUUGUUCAUCCACAUAAGAUGGUCACAGAGCACACCUAAUACUCUGCUACUGGUGUAUCAGUUCCUUUCCACCAGAAACUUAUGAUCUCUAAUUGAAAGAGAUCCUAAAGUUUUAAGAUUUCUACAAAAUACAUUAUUCUCAUUUUUGUACAAGUAUGAUACAAUUAUUCCCAAGUAUUAUUUAUUCUAAGGAAUAGAAUUUAGUUGUGGUUUCUCUAUUUAACCAACAUUUAUUUUUAAAUAACUAAAUUUAAAAAAAAAAUCCUGAAAUUAUUAAGUACAUACCUAACACAUUGUAAAAUUUUGUUCCCAAAGAAAAUAUUUUUGGCAAUAGAAUUUUCAGGAACUUCAUUCCUAGGAAUAUAAUUCUAUACUAAGAGAAGAGCUUAAGCAUUGAUACAUAACAAGACCAAUCCAUAUCCUAAUCACAAUCCUACUUUCACUAAAUACUUUCACUUAAGUGUGGUCUUGGAAAGGACAAAUGAAGAAAGACAUUCCAGAGGUAUGGUAAGGGACAAUAUCUGCAGUUAUGCACAUAUUGCAAGAUUGUGAGGAACUACCGGACUGAUUUGAUUCACCAAAAAAUUUGGAAUAAAUAUUUCAGCCCAGAACUCAGACAAUGACUGGAUUGGAACCUUUCAGCUUCUAAUAUCGGUACUGUCCAAGGAAAUAGUCAUUCUCUUUUUGGAGUAGCUGUGAAGGAUUUAUGGAAAGAUAGAACUAAGCUGGUCUUUUCUAGAAACACCGCGAUUGGAACUACUCUAUUUUGGCUUGUAGCCAAUCCGGCUAAGUUUAUUAACAAUGUAGUUUGUACUCAAGCUCACAGUCACGAUGUUGUCAGCAACAGUGGGCAUAUUGUUUAGGUAGCCUGGAAUUUUCCUCCCCAACACUUCUUCAAAGUGAAUAUGAUGGAUCUCUACGGGAUUAUGUUAGUUUCCAGGAUCGAACUCAGAACCUCCUGAUUAUAACUCCUUCAAUGUAUGUCCCUUACCCACGUGGGGCCUCGGCUGUAAUUGUUAACAUGGUAAAAUUUGGCUCUUCCAAUAAUGGUUUUAUCCAAACUCGAGGUUGUUUAUCGUCUCCAACAAUCAGAUUGGAGAAUACUAGUGGUUCAUGCAUUUGAACAAACCAACUGUUGUGCAGAUUUUCUAGUUGAUUUUGUUUUUCCUUUUUUGAGUAUUUUAUUAGCCAAUGAUAUAAGAGGUUGUAGCCUACCUCUUUUGAUUUCUUAAGACAAUCACUUUUGCAUUAGAAAAAAACGACCCUACAUAAAAUUAAUGAUUGAAUUAAGAUAUAACUUCAGUUUGAAAUAUUGUAAAAUUCUAUACCACCAAAAACUGAGAAUUUUAGAACCAUACAGGUUGGUGGAGUGGUCAUCCAGAUAACUUUAACAUAAUUAACAGUCCAAAAAGUAAAUAGCUUUAUCCUUUAUUUUCAAUCUGAUGUGAUUUACUCUUAUCUGUUAAACAUUAUAAUUAAGAAUCCAAAGGGAACACUCACCUAAUCUCUCUCUUUUUUCUAGCUUUUUCACUAAACCACUGUGUCUGUGGUUACCACAUUUCCUUAUGGAAUCAAUAUCCAAUUUAUGUUAAAAACCAUUUCUACAUUUUGUGUUAAAAAUGAUCUAAACAAAGAUGAUUUAUUUCUCUUAAAUUCAACAUAGAUCAUAUUUACAUGGUUCAAACUUUCUAUUACACGGCAUUGACUUAGUUGCUUCACAUGGGGACACAACUAAUGCAUAUAUUAUUUUAUAUGCUUAUAGUAAUUUUAACAAGUGGCAAUGGGGCAUAUGUUUUGUCAAAAAAACACAAAAAACAGGAGGCAUGUGCAACUGAAGUCACUGCCAGCUUGGCACUAAGAUAUAGUAAAAUAAUUGACAUUUGAAGAAAACAAAGACGUUGCUACAUUUCUAUUCAAACAAGCGACAUCAAUAUCAGACAAUGGUGCUACAUUUAAUAAUACUACAGCUAUCCCCAUAAGCACCUCUUAGAAAGAAAAAAAAAUAUCCAUUAAAUUAAUGUUGGAAGAGUUAGCAACAUGUCCUCUCCCAAAAAAACUCAUGUUUGAUUCCUAGAGUCGUCCAUUUCGAAAGAAGCUCAACCCUGAUAAUAAAAACCUAGAUGUUAUGCUGCAGACUUAAAGAUCAAUUUCAUAAUGGAUCCAAAGGGCCUAAGCUGUGUGGGAUACUUAAGGGGGUAUAUUGAGGCUAAGGGUCAAAGAUCUUAAUUAUGGUCGGUUAAAAAAAGAAGAAAAAAAAAUUAUCUCUAAAUAUAAAGUCAACAAUAUUUCAAAUUGCAAGAUACAUUUAUUUAUUUUUUAAAUAUGUAUAUACCUCUUAUUAAUACUUACUAAUUUGUUUUGAGUGAUAAAAAGUUACGAGUUAGACAGAUCAGCACAUAAAAAAAGUAUUUGAAAAACAUCUACCAACAAAAUAAACACAUUAAAAACAAUACUACUUUUUUACAAUACUGUAUGUGAAAAUGACAAAAUCUUGAAAAAGAUGGAGGUAACAUGUACUCUUUUUUUUUUAGAGGGGAGCAUGUACUUUUCCACUAACAAUGUUGAUAAGAAACAUAUAAAAUACUAUUAGAGAAAGAAAAAAAAUAAUAAAUAAAGAAAUAUAUAAAAUACUGAGGAAUGACUCACUCAUGUCAAAUUUUAGCAAGGGAGAAGUGAUAUCACAUCAUUUUAGAAGAGGAAUGAGAAUAGAUAGAUCUAAUUUUUCUAGUAAGUUUGAAUAGUAGAAUCAUACUUCUUUGUCUUUUGUGAAAAUUUCAUAUUAUGGGAUCUAUUACUAGAAUACAGGUGAUUUUAUUCUGGAAGAUUGACUUUUUAUUAAAAUAAAAUAAAAGUACAUUUUUUAUUUCCAAAUGCUUAGUUGUUCAUUUAUAAAUAUUACAUUAUCCAACAGCACCAAACCCUAUUUCAUAACGGUACUCUGCACGUUUCAUUCAUUUACUGGUGCCUUAGUUUUUUGUUACAAACAGACAUUGAUCAGAGGAACAAAUGUAGAGACAAAUUGAAGAUAAUAUAUCACAUAAUAUUGUAGACACACCUUCACAUACAAAUGGGGUAAAGUCCCUCAUAGUAGUAUUAGAAAUAACACUUAGAGUAAAAUUUUGCUAAAUUUAACAUGAAAAUAAGUGUAAUGUAUUUUAUAGGCAGCUAUACAUAAUUAUUAAUUAGAACAAUUUUUUACACUGUCAAACAAAAAUUGAACAAUUUUUUACUAGCUUUAUGCUUUAUGAUGUUUUGAUUCCAUGUGCACAUUUCAAUUUUAGAACUAUUCCUUUCUAUGUUACUGAAAUAAUUCUAUCAUUAGGCAUUGACAUUUCCAUUAUGCGUGCACGUUAAAGUGUUUUCCCAAACAGAGAAAUAUUAAGAAAGGUUAAACUUUUGACUUAAAGACACAACUAAAAUAAGAUCCAAGGAAAACCCCAUUGAUUAUUUCUUGCACAAAAUUAAAAACCCCAUUGAUUAUUUCUUGCACAAAAUUAAAAUGCUAAUAAUUUUUCCUGGUCUAUAUUUUUCUCCUUCCGGGAAAUGGCAACAUCACAUGUUCAUCUCAUAAUUGAGAAAACACAUGUCUGGGAAAAUAUCUUAAAGAAAAGGCAGUAAAGUAAUAAAAAGUGCACCAAAUAGAGAUUAACUAGUACUCUUUGCAUGUCAACUAAGUGGUAUAAUUAUGUAUAUCACAUUCUUAAUAUUGAUUAUCUUGAUUGCACGAUAAGCCCCUCAAAUUGCUCAAUCGAUGAUUGCUUGAUAAGCCCAUCAAAUUGCCCAAUCGAUCGAAUCGUAACUUUCGAUAGACAUUUUUUUUAAGAAAACCCAAUUGGAUCAUAACUCCCCAUAGUCAUUUAUUUGAAAUUGUGAGCAAUUUGAUAACUUAUUGAGCAAUCACCAUUGAUUUUAGUCUCAAUUUAUCCUAAUGUUGUAACCCUGGAAUAAUGGAACAGUGAGUAAAUUUGGUUUCUCCGUCUCAAAAUAAGUGUCACAAUUUAACCAUGUGCACUACUCAUCAAAUCUACUUUGACAACAUUUUUUUUACUAAUAUAUAAAGACAAUGUUAGUACAUUACAUGUUCGAUUUGUCUUAGUUAAUGUUUUUAAAAUAUCGACUUUAUUAUAAUUUUUCUUAAUAGACAAUCAAAAAUAUCAAUUGUCAAAAUUGUGUAUUGAUAUGUAUGAAAAUCAAACUAUAACACUUACUUUGAGACGAAGAGAAUAACUAUUAAAAACUAAUGUUCAAAUAGAAAGAAAAGAAAACAAAGAUUCCAUACAAAGCUUGCAAAAUAGCUACAAUCAUAACCUAGAACAAAAAUCAUGACCACACACUAUAUCCAUUUUCCUUUUCCUAAAAAGCAAUUGAAGAUAAAAAAAAAAAAAAUAAUAAAUAAAAAAAAAAAAAAAAAAAAAAAAAANACCACCAUACUACUACAAAUCCCCACCUCCACCAUCGCCUUCUCCUCCACCACCAUACUACUACAAAUCCCCACCUCCACCAUCGCCUUCUCCUCCACCACCAUACUACUACAAAUCCCCACCUCCACCAUCGCCUUCUCCUCCACCACCAUACUACUACAAAUCCCCACCUCCACCAUCGCCUUCUCCUCCACCACCAUACUACUACAAAUCCCCACCUCCACCAUCGCCUUCUCCUCCACCACCAUACUACUACAAAUCCCCACCUCCACCAUCGCCUUCUCCUCCACCACCAUACUACUACAAAUCCCCACCUCCACCAUCGCCUUCUCCUCCACCACCAUACUACUACAAAUCCCCACCUCCACCAUCGCCUUCUCCUCCACCACCAUACUACUACAAAUCCCCACCUCCACCAUCGCCUUCUCCUCCACCACCAUACUACUACAAAUCCCCACCUCCACCAUCGCCUUCUCCUCCACCACCAUACUACUACAAAUCCCCACCUCCACCAUCGCCUUCUCCUCCACCACCAUACUACUACAAAUCCCCACCUCCACCAUCGCCUUCUCCUCCACCACCAUACUACUACAAAUCCCCACCUCCACCAUCGCCUUCUCCUCCACCACCAUACUACUACAAAUCCCCACCUCCACCAUCGCCUUCUCCUCCACCACCAUACUACUACAAAUCCCCACCUCCACCAUCGCCUUCUCCUCCACCACCAUACUACUACAAAUCCCCACCUCCACCAUCGCCUUCUCCUCCACCACCAUACUACUACAAAUCCCCACCUCCACCAUCGCCUUCUCCUCCACCACCAUACUACUACAAAUCCCCACCUCCACCAUCGCCUUCUCCUCCACCACCAUACUACUACAAAUCCCCACCUCCACCAUCGCCUUCUCCUCCACCACCAUACUACUACAAAUCCCCACCUCCACCAUCGCCUUCUCCUCCACCACCAUACUACUACAAAUCCCCACCUCCACCAUCGCCUUCUCCUCCACCACCAUACUACUACAAAUCCCCACCUCCACCAUCGCCUUCUCCUCCACCACCAUACUACUACAAAUCCCCACCUCCACCAUCGCCUUCUCCUCCACCACCAUACUACUACAAAUCCCCACCUCCACCAUCGCCUUCUCCUCCACCACCAUACUACUACAAAUCCCCACCUCCACCAUCGCCUUCUCCUCCACCACCAUACUACUACAAAUCCCCACCUCCACCAUCGCCUUCUCCUCCACCACCAUACUACUACAAAUCCCCACCUCCACCAUCGCCUUCUCCUCCACCACCAUACUACUACAAAUCCCCACCUCCACCAUCGCCUUCUCCUCCACCACCAUACUACUACAAAUCCCCACCUCCACCAUCGCCUUCUCCUCCCCCACCUUACUAUUACAAAUCCCCACCGCCACCUUCACCAUCUCCCCCACCACCCUACUACUAUAAAUCACCCCCACCACCUUCACCAUCUCCUCCACCACCAUACUACUACAAAUCACCCCCACCGCCAUAUGAACACAAGACUAAACCAUACUAUUACAAGUCUCCUCCACCACCAUAUGAACACAAGACUAAACCAUACUAUUACAAGUCCCCACCACCACCUUCACCAUCUCCUCCACCACCAUACUAUUACAAGUCCCCACCACCACCUUCACCGUCUCCACCCCCACCAUACUACUACAAAUCACCUCCUCCUCCAUCACCUAUUCCCCAUACACCUUACUACUACAAGUCCCCACCACCACCUAAGGUUCUUCCACCACCAUACUAUUACAACUCUCCUCCUCCACCUGUUGUGUAUCAUCACCCUCAUCCCUACCACCAUGCAUUGAUCGUGAAGGUAGUGGGUAACGUCUACAGCUUCAGAUGUUAUGACUGGGAGUAUCCUGAAAAGUCUCAUAACAAGAAACACCUCAAAGGUACAUCACAUUACAUUUCUCAAUUCUUUCAUUUUUAUAGAUUUUAUGUACAUCACUAUUGGCUCGUAGUUUCUCAAUACCAUUACAACUAAACUGCAAGUUUCAGUAAUGAGAUUCAUAUAGACAUGUUUUUAUUAACAUCUUUGUUUCUUAGAAAUUAUACAAACACUUAAUUUAGGUUUCUCCAUGUCCAAUAAAGUAAACAAUUGAUAUAUCAAAUUAACAUAUAUGAUAUAUCAUUUACCUCAUUAAAAUUUAAUAAUCCUGCCUAAUAUAAAGAUUCGGUUUGAAAAUGAUAGUUUAGUGAGCUUCUUUAUAAUAACACUCUCCAAUAUAUUAUGUUUUAAAAACAAUUAUAUUUCUAUUUGUCUAAAUUCAAAUUUGUUAUGGGACAGGUGCUGUUGUUGAAGUGACAUGCAAAGCCGGGAGCAAAAUCAUCAAGGCUUACGGUAAAACUAAGAUCAAUGGAAAGUAUGCCAUCACAGUUAAGGACUUUGACUAUGUCAAAUAUGGUUCAACAGUGUGCAAGGCUGCCCUUUAUGCUCCACCUAAGGGUUCACCCUUCAACAUACCUACAAAGCUAAACCAAGGAACAAACUUGUACUUGAAAUCCAAAGACAAGUACGAGGUUGUGCUCAAGGCUAAGCCAUUUGCUUAUGCUUCAAAGAAACAUUUCAAAGAAUGUGAGAAGUCCAAGCCUUCACCAACUCCUUACUACUACAAAUCACCUCCACCUCCCUCACCAGUUUACAAGUAUAACUCACCACCUCCACCCGUCCAUUAUUACUCACCUCCAUAUUACUACAAGUCACCUCCUCCCCCCGUGAAAGCGGCACCAACUCCUUACUACUACAAAUCACCUCCACCUCCCGCACCAGUUUACAAGUACAACUCCCCACCUCCGCCAGUCCAUUACUAUUCACCUCCAUACACCUAUAAGUCACCUCCUCCUCCUGUGAAAGCAGCACCAACUCCUUACUACUACAAAUCACCUCCACCUCCCGCACCGGUUUACAAGUACAACUCACCACCUCCACCGGUCCAUUAUUAUUCUCCACCAUACUACUACAAGUCACCACCCCCACCAUCUCCAUCACCUCCUCCACCAUACUAUUUCAAAUACUAUUACAAGUCCCCACCUCCACCAUCACCAUCCCCUCCUCCACCUUAUUAUUACAAAUCUCCUCCUCCACCAAAACAAAUUUCACACCCUCCAUACUACUAUAAGUCACCACCCCCACCAUCACCAUCACCUCCUCCACCAUACUAUUAUAAGUCUCCACCUCCACCAUCACCAUCUCCCCCACCACCUUAUUAUUAUAAGUCACCACCCCCACCAUCCCCGUCCCCUCCUCCACCAUACUACUACAAGUCUCCACCUCCACCUAAAGAAAUAUCACAUCCUCCAUAUAACUAUAAGUCACCACCCCCACCAUCACCAUCCCCUCCCCCUCCAUACUAUUACAAAUCUCCUCCACCACCAUCACCAUCACCACCACCUCCCUACUAUUACAAAUCACCUCCACCACCAUCACCAUCACCUCCCCCUCCAUACUAUUACAAAUCUCCUCCACCACCAUCACCAUCACCACCACCUCCUUACUAUUACAAAUCACCUCCACCACCAUCCCCAUCACCACCACCUCCAUACUACUACAAAAGUCCCCCUCCACCAUCUCCAUCUCCUCCAUCCCCAUAUUACUACAAAUCUCCACCACCACCAUCACCAUCCCCACCCCCUCCCUACUAUUACAAAUCACCUCCACCUCCCUCACCAUCACCGCCACCUCCUUACUAUUACAAAUCUCCCCCACCUCCAUCUCCAUCUCCACCACCUCCUUAUCACUAUCAAAGUCCUCCUCCCCCAUCUCCCAUUUCUCAUCCUCCCAACUACUACAAAUCCCCUCCACCACCAUCGCCAUCUCCUCCACCUCCAUACCAUUACGUGAGUCCUCCCCCACCAGUAAAGUCACCUCCACCACCAGCUUACAUCUAUGCUUCUCCACCACCACCAAUCUACAACUAGCCUCACAACACCAAAUCACCAUUGGUGAUAAAUUAUGUAAGUUUACCAUUAUUGCAAUCAUAACACUUGCAUCUUUUCCCACCCAUACACACACAUAUCACAUGUUUAAAUUUUAUGUACUAAUCAACAAAAACUCUUAUUUGUUUUCAGGUUCUAGUUUUCAUCAAGGAAUAAAGUCGUCCAUUUGGAGCAAAGUGAAACAACUAGCUCUCUGUCCAAAUUAUUUGAUGGCCAUCUUGCACUUCCUAAUCUUAUUGUGUUCAAGUGACUGGCUAAUCAAAAUGUGGAAGCGAGAUUAAUUUAUUUAUUAUCUCUUUGAUUUAUAUGUGCAUAGAUUGAUAUUUCCCUGUAUGAUAACUUUAUUUUUAUUGAGGAUUUUUUGUAUUGUACCCUGUUGUGUUUGUUAAAAUAAGUAUUAUCAAUGAAGAAUUACCUUCAAUUUCUUUCCACCUAAUUAGUUCUUGUUUCUUUUAAACAACUAUCAAGCAUGUCAGCAAGGCAAAGCAUACCACUACCACCAUAUCACCAUAAAAUGCAUCAUUAUUCAUUGCAUAUGAGAUAAAUAUAUGCAAACUAUAUCUAAUUAUUAAGAGGGGGAAAAAACUAAUGUACAGAAAAUGUACCUCAAGGCUUCAGGAUAGGUGUUAGAAACCCAAGCUUUUAAUAGCUCUCUCCAAGAAUCCUCGUUUCUACAACUUAAGUUCCUAUAUUAAUCAAUUAUAAUAUAUGAGAAACUUAUGUUGUCGACCAACAAUACAGGUGACUCAAAAAAAUAUUAUAUUUUAAAAGUCAAACCUUGAGCUAUACACAUGUAAGCAUCAUCAAUAUAAGUUUCACCAUUGUUCAUGUGUAUUAUUCCAUAAAUUUUGGCUCAGUUGAGGUUACUACACUGGUUUUCUUCCUAUUGUAUCAUAUAUUUAAAUACUAUGGUGCGUUUGGAUAAACAGCUUAUGUCACAAGCACUUAUCAUGAUAAGCGCUUUUGUAUAAACUUGCAUGAGUUAUUUUCAUAUCAAAAGAUAAACAAGAACAUUAAAUUGUUUUUGUAUAUUACUUAAGUUGUUUUCAUAAGCUAUGUUGAAGAACUAAUGAAAAUUAGCUGAAAAAAGCUUAUGCUGUUUUCAUGAAUUCUCCCUAACAGUCUCACAAUAUUUAUGUCAGUAUAUAAUCAAAUAAGUCAAUCCAAACAGGCCCCACGUCUUCUAUAUUAGACCAUAUGACAAUUUCUUUUCGGUUUAUUCUCAUUAAAAGUUAAAAAUGGUGUAUUUGAAUCCUAUAAUUCUUUGUCAUACAAGUGCAUUCAAAUACAAUUUGAAGCCAUGGUGAAAGUGUUUAAUUUGCAGAGCUCACCAACAUAAUCUAACGUAUAUUUGGAUUGACUUAUUUGAACUUAUCUACUAGCACAAAUACUUGUGAGAUUGUUUACGAAAGUUUAUGGAAAAAACUUACAACACACACAUAAGUUGUUUUCAGCUUAUUUCCAUAAACUCUUCAAAAUAGCUUAUGAAACAACUUAUAUGAUAAGAGCUUAUUCUAUAAGCGCUUAAUUAAGUUUUAAUCCAUUCUUCUUCUACCUUCAUCUUCAGUUAACAAAACGAAUACAAUUUCUGAAAAUUCAAAGUUCAAACACCAAAAAAUACCUAAAAUGAAAAAUUGUUGAAUGAAAGCGCAAAUAGAACCUGGCAAUGCGUUCGAGAAGCACGUGGAGGAGGUGGCGUGGCAGAAGAAUGUGUGGAUUUCAUCGGAGAAUUUCAGUUCUGCUCGCGCCAUUUAAGAAAUUUUGUAAACUUAAAGUUUAGUUUAAGUUUACCCCUCUUUUUUUUUCAUUUUAAAGGAGUUUACCCUACAAAUUUUUGUAUGUUUUUGCCACGUUUACAAAUGAUUUAAUAUGUUUUUAUCCUAUAUAUAUUUAGGGAUGUAAAUGGAUAUUAUGAUGCGGAUAGUGUAAUAUUUGUGUCUGUUCCAUUGGAUAAAUAUGAAAUCUGUACCAUAUUCAUAUCGUACGGAUAUCUGUUUAGCGGGUAAUCCACAGAUUUUGAGAUAUUUGAGUGUUUAUAGAUAUAUUCAUUGAUAACAUUUAUAAAAAUAAAAUAAAAAAUUUGUUUAAUUCUUUUUAGAGACAAAGGUUCUUCAUAUGCAUUUUCUUUUCUUUUUAACAAAACAUAAUAUUCAUACAUUAUAAUAACAACAAAGAUCAUUGACUCAACAAAAACAUAAAUAAAGUUGCUUACAUUUAAUAAAAAUAAAGUUAUUUGAUUUAACAAAAACAAAGCUCUUGCAUCAACAAUCCCAACCACUUUCACUUCCUUUUAAAAGAGUGUAAUAACAAAUAACACUCACAAUACAUAAGGUUUUUUUUUAGGAAGUUGAAUGAUAUUAAGGUUAUUUAUGUAAUUUACUCGGUUUAAUAGUCGGUAUGGAUAUCCACGGGUGUGGAUACCGUUAAAUCCGCAUCCAUAUCCAUUAAUUAGCAGGUAGUUAAAAAAUUCAUUUAUUUUAUCCAUUGAUAUCCAUUAAGGUAUCCGCUCCGUGCCCGUGACGGAUUAUAUCCGCGGAUAUUCACGGGUGCGAAUUUUUUUGUCAUCCCUAUAUAUAUAUAUUAGUCUUAAACUUGACUAUUUUUUAUUAUCAUUUGGUGCUAUAAUUAAAAAAAAAAAAAAAAUAUUGUUCGUCUGAGCCAUUUAGCUACAGGCUAUUACUUUUCUCAUUCUACAUGUUUCUCGCUUGUCCUAUUUUUUUUUUAAUACUUUUUGCUCGAAUUCUAAAAUCUAAACUCCUAUAGGGAUUUUUGGAUUCUAUAAUCCAAAACACGUUGAAACCCAAAAAUAAAAUAAAAAACUAUGUAAUUGAAAUCAAAGAUCUCUACUGCUAAUGCACGUUUUCCACAAAAACUACAAAGUAAUUUCAAAGUAAUUUCACAAAAACUAUCGUAUGAAUAGACAGCAAUGAGCAUGAUAUCAUAAAUAACUCAAAACUUUAUAAAAAUAAAAAUAAAAAAAUGAAUAAGAAGAUGUGAAGAAUGAAUGUAAACGUUGGAGGAUACAAAGCUAUUUAUAGACAUAAAAUGUUCCUAGACUCUAAAGUGGGUCAAAGAAAACAUGAAUAACAUUUACAACUUAAUUAACACAUCACAGAUCAUUCAAACCUUUGGUGUAACAUCAUCGUAUGUAGUCUGGCACAGUUUGGAUUAUACAAUCUGAACAUUUCAUAAGCAGUUUGGAUUAUAUAAUUUGAACUAUCCCAGACUGUGUUUCAGCUUGAUGUUUGGAGGGUUUUGUAUGGUGGAUAACACAAAAAAAUGACAUAAUUCAACAACGUAAAAAAUAUAAUAAGAUAAGUGAUGAUGAAAGGGAAGCCGCACCAAGAGGUGUUUUUGAAUUCGAUCCAGUUGUCCUAUCAACUGACAUAUAUUUCUAUUGGCAUGGCAGCAAGAUCAAGUUUCAAAACGACCUUUUUGUGUUCAUAUCCGCAAAAUAAUGAUGAAAGGCAAGGUAUUCCAAGAAGUGUUUUUUAACUUGAUCUCGCUACCUUGUCAACUAACAUAUUUCUAUAGACAGUGCAGCAAGAUCAAAUUUAUAACAACCUCUAGGUGUUCAUAUCCGCUAAGUAAUUUUUCGUAGUUCUUUAUUGUGAUCUACAAAAAAAAAAAAAAAAAAGAUCUAUUUAUAUAAGUUUAUGUGCGUCGCGAACCAGAUAAAUUUUCGAUGCAUUGUGGACCAAAAAAAAAUUCUAAUUCGGACUAAACAAGAUGAAUUUUCCUUCACCCUAGAAAGUAAAAGUUUUGACAAACACAAGACUGAUUAUACAUUAAAUACAACAAUCAGCCAAACUAAACAUAUUAGAUCACAAAUCUUUCAAACUAACUUCUUCAUUGGAUUCCUCCAAGAGAGCCUUGAUUUAUUUGUAUGUUCUAGGCCGAAUCAAUUUUUUUUAAUAUCUUUGAAAGGGCCCGACCAAGAAAACAUCCAACUCAAUUGGUCAUUUAAUACCGUACUGACCAAAUAUUAAAACAUUAUUCUCUUAUCGCAUUGUUCCUGAGUUUAAUCUAGGUAAACUAGAUGCUUUCAUCUUAGCCAAUCGAUGGACUUUGAUGCUCAACAUUGUCCAUCCUUCUUGUGUCUGUGUUGUUGAGUCGACGGUUGAUUUAGUCCAGCUAAUAUUGGACUUUCCCCCAUUGUAGUAAACUACAGUUAGUUUGGUGUCAGAUCAAUGAUUGAAGUGUUCAUGAUUAUUUGGUGUGGUUUAUAGCAAAUGAAAACAAGCACACCAAUUUAUAGAAGUUUAUGUGCGCCGCGGACUACAAUAACUAUUGGUGCAAUGAAGACCAUAGAAAAAGCAUGUACUUGGCUGAUUUGGAUUAUAUAAUUUACAUUGUCCCUCACCCUACAAAGUACAAAUUUCAACACAAUAUUGAACCAAUUCGGAUUAUAGAAUCCAAUCAUUUAUGAGAUAAUUUCGGAUUAUAUAAUUAAAACUAGUUCACAAUGUGAACCGCAGCUUGGUCAGCAAGACUAACUCAUUAAAAAUGUUUUUUAAGUUGGUGAACGACGCUUGACUGGUCAGCAAGACUUGAAAACAAUUUUCGUACCAUGCAUUAAUGGACCAUUACCCUCUAUGAAAUGUACUUCACAAAUUCUCCUUCCGAAUACCCACUAAUACAUCACAAAUUCUUAUUUCAUCUCACAUUCUCUCGUUCUUUUUACUUCUACAAUGUGCUUCCAUAGUUUGUGUUUCAUACAAAAAUGUUACUCUAAUAUUUUAUGGAUUGUAUGAAUGGUCAAAAGGCAAAAAUUGGCACCAUCUGUUUGGAUGUAAGGUUGAUCAUCAAAGUCUAAUCCACUAAGAGAGGAAACAAACCUUACCCCAACCUCAUUCCCCAUUCAUCUUCUUGCACCGCAUGUUUAAAUGAUACUCCCUCCGGUCCUAUUUAUAAGAGAAAGUUAGGUCAACAAAAGUUGAUGUAUCUGAACUGAAUUUUUAACCGGAUACAUCAACUUUUGUUGACCCAAAUUUCUCUUAUAAAUAGGACCGGAGGGAGUAUUUGUACAACCAUUUUGGUACAACUUUUGUACAACUUUCUCUCUCAUACUCACAUUAUGUUUUUAUUCUCUCUCUUACUUUUUUUCUCUCCAUUGUGGUUGACCAAUAAGAAGGGAGAAUAUCAAGGUUGUCACAAAAAUUGUAACAAAAGAGUUGUUCAAAUAUCAUUACUCUUAUCAUUAUGUGUUAAAUAAUUUUGUGUAAUAAGCUUCAAUGACAAUGUAAAUAUACAAUAAAAGAUAUAAAUUAUUCAUAAAAUGAAAAUUUUAUUCAUUUAUCUUUUUAUAUUUUUGUCUCUUUUAGUUUCAGUCAUUUUCAAUUAUGCAUUCUUAAUAUUAUGUCAAUGUUGAUCAAUAAUUAUUGGCAAAAGAAGUUUUCAUGUUAUAGAAUAUGAAAAUCCCUGGUACCAAAAAAAAAAAAAAUCUGAAAAUCCCUCUAUAGGAUUUCAGAUUUUAGAAUCCGACCAAAUGGUAUUUUGAAGAGAGAAAAAUAGUGUGUCUAAGUAACUCAUGUUGAGAAAAGUAAUAGCCUUAAUUAUGUCUCCGAUAAACAUUUUAUUCCCUUCCGUUAAUCAGUUAAUCCCAAAUGUCUAAGGUGAACCAAUAUUAUAGGUGGUCUACCAUAAACCUCAUAACAAUUUUAAGGUCAAAUACCACUUUUGGUCAUUUUAGUUUGACAGAAUUCUCAAGUUAGUCAUUUAAGUUUCGAAAGUUUCAAUUAGGUCCUUUUAGUUUGACAGAAUUCCCAAGUUAAUCCUUUAAGUCAUAAAAUUCAGGGGAGCAAAGUAGAUACUCCAGUUUUCAGAGGCGGAGACAUAGUCAUGUCAAAAGCAUCCCACAUCCUAUUACCACCUACUUGAACUCAUCAAGCUUGGUAUGGACCAUUCACAGUAACAUGUGUAUGUAGUCUCGUGGAGAUCUGGGACAAUAUCAAAUGGCAUGCUAAGGUGAAUCGACACAAACUGAAGCAUGUUAAAGAUUGCAUCCGGAAAAUGAAAGUUGAAGAAGAUGAACCUGCUUUGAAGAGGUUCAAGGGCACAACAUAGACUUAUUCUCCAUGUUCAAGAUGUAAAACACGCAUUGAACGAGAGACAACCCAUUAAUUUAUUUUCUCCGUUAUUUGUCUUGUGUCAUUUUUGCUCGAAUUUUUUGCCGUCAAUUCUUUAUGAAUUAUCAGUCAUAUUAUAUUACACACUAGACAAUUUUUUUGGUACCUUGAGCCUUUUCAAUCCGCCCUUAUCAUCAUUAUAUCCUUUGCUAAAUCCCUUUGAGCUUCCAUGCAUUAUUUCUUUUGUUUUUUUUAUUAAGUAACAAAUCAUGUCACAAGUUUGAACUUUUAAUGCCAUCUAUUUGAUUUCUUUUAUAGUUAGAUAGAAUAUUUUUAAGAACUUGGUAUGAUUUGAAUAUAUGUUAGGGUUAUAAGGGAGAAAUGUAAUGGCAAAGAGGAAGAGCAAGAAAAGAGAUGAAAGAUGAAGGGACAUUAGGCAGACUCAAUCACGGUAGUUAGAAUGAUUGCCUUCUGUUUUGCAGUAAUUUGCAUGAGCUUCACUUUUCAAGUAGAGUAAAAAAAACAGGAAUAGAUAGACACAUUUCUUCUAAGUUUGAGUAGUGAGUGAUAACACUUCUAUGUAAUCCCUAAAAAAAAACACUUCUAUGUAAAAAAAUCACAUGGGAAAUCCAUUCCUAUAGUACACGUAAUUUUGAUCUGGAAGGUUGACUUUUCAACAAAAUAACCUAAAAUAAUUUGUUCAUAACAUAAUAGAGGAAUCUAGAAGUGUUCGCGGUGCGGUUUGAUUCGGUUUUGAGCAAAAAAGUCAUCCAAACCGCGCGAUAAAAAAACAUGUGGUUUGGUUCGGUUGAUUUUUAAAAAAUCAUCCAAACCAAACCAAACUAAACCAAUACGGUUUGGAUUGGUUCGGUUUGUGCGGUUUAUCGCGAGAUAAAAAAAAAAUAUUACAUUAACUCUAAUAUUUCCAAAUUGUUACAAAAUAAACAUAGAACGUUUUUUUAUUUAUUUUUAUAUGAUAAAAUAUUAGGUAAAACUCAUAUCAAAAUAGGUAAAAUUAAGAAGAAUUUAUAAGCAUGAAACAAAUUAUUGGAAAGUAAAGGAAACAAAUUUAAGUAAUAUUCAUUAUUCUUGCAGCUAUGUAAUUGGGCUAGAAACAUUUUAUUUUGAUGUUUAUAUCGAACAUGAUGGUGCAACAAUGGAAAAAUCAAAUCAAAAAAGAUUAUUCUUGAGCUAUGUAAUUGAGCUAGUACAUAUUUAAGUAAUAUUCAUUAUUCUUGCGGUUUGGUUUGGUUUGAUUCGGUUGCUGAGAUGCAAACCGCAAAUCAAACCAAACUGUAUGUUUUAGUGCAAAAGUCAUCUGAAUUCAUCCGAAAUCAAGUACGAUUUUUUACGAUUUUGAAUUGGUUUAAUUUGCCGUUUUUCUAUUGGAUUGGUUCGGUUUGAACGAUCUGCAUGAAUUCUUCUAGUUGAUUGUUGGACUAUUUUUAAUUGGCAAAGGCUUAGUUGUCCAUUUAUAAAUAUAAAUACUAUUAUUACAUUAUCCAAUCCAAUAGCACCAAAACCAAUAUAAUAAUGGUAAUUUGCAAUUUUGCACGUUUCAUUCAUUUAUUGGUGCCUUAAUUUUGGGUUACAGACCGACAUUGAUCAGUUGCUAAAAAACCACUGCAUCCUUAUUUUUUACGAGGUAGAUGCAUCGGACAAAUAAACCGACAAACAAAGCUAUUCAGAAAGUGCUCAGAAAUUUUUUGUGCCCCAACAGAAAAUAUUAAGAAAGUCUUGCUACACAGUGUCUUGUAUACAAGUGAAAUAUGUGUGGUAUUAUGCACAAGUUUAUUUUUACAAGUUGAUAUAAGAAUCUAAGUAUAUUUUUAUGGAAAAUUAAUGCUAACAAAUACUUUCAAAGCAUUGUUUAAGCAAUCAAUAUUAGUAACUUUUGCAUAGAAAUAUGUGUGAUUAUUAUUUUUUCAUAUGUUUUAUAUGUUUUCAAGAAAAUAUUUUUAUUUAUGGUUUUUUUAAAUAGUGUCCUUAGGUACUUGUUAGCAAAAUCUUAUUUAUAUAAGUUGAUCUAAGAAUCUCAUUAUUGUAUCGAGUGAGAUACGGCCAUACCGAAGCUUAUGGAUUCCAUAGUGGAAAAAUAACUUUUCAUCAGUGCAAUACUAUUUUAGUUGUAGAAUUUCUUUUCUUGUGUGUCCUAUUUCAGAUUUUAAAAUCCAAACAAUCGAAGGUUUAUGAAGGUUUUUCGAACAUUUUCGCACUGUUUGAAUUAUAUGAUCUGAAAUGUCAUAGAACAUGCGAGAAGCAAGUUGAAUGAAAUAAAAAACUCCUGCUCAAUAGAAUUAUUUUACUUGGUUAUUGUUUGAAUUUUAUUCUCCUUCAAAGACGGCAAUGUGCAAUUGUGCAUUUCAUCCGGAGAGUGGCAACAUCUCAUGCAUGUUCAUCUCAUAUAACUGAGAAGUCACAUGGCUUGGAAAAUCUUAAACCGAGAAAAACAAAAGGAGUAAAAGUAAUAAUAGUGAACCAAAGUGAAGAUGAACUUGUAGUCUAUCAAAAGAAGAUGAACUUGUUCGUCUUGGCAUAGUAACUCAUUUUUAUUCCUUGUUACCUAUGAAACACGGACAAUAGAUACAACACGGACACCAAUACGUUAAUACCGUUAAUAAUAUAAAAAAAUAGGUACAUUGAAUAAUUAAUGUAUUUGACCUAUAAAUGUGACCAGAUAUAUUAAUUAUUCAAUGUAUCUAAAAAGUUGGUUUUUGUUUAUAAAUAUGAUCAUAUGGAGUACUACUUUAGUGUAAUUUUAUGUAUUGGUACUGCGAGACAUCUAAUCUAAAGAGUGUCAAUGUUUUCACACAUAUUACUCACCAAAGUGCACACAUUAUAUGCAUUUAGGUAAACUGAGUUCAUCCAAAAUUGUAACCGCACAAACAGAGGGCCGCUAGGAAAUAUGAGGUAAAUUUGGAUUAUUCUUUAUCAAAAGCUUAUGACCAAAGAAAAACUAUACAAAAACUAAUGUUCAAAAAGUACAUAAAGUAAUAAUGCAAAGUCAAUGUGUAUAUAUAUUUCACCAUUAAAUAAAAGGGGAAAAAAAUCUCCAUACACAGCUUGCAAUAGCUACCAUCAUGGCCUAAAGCAAAUAUCAUAUGACCACUAAAAAACAAUAGAAAAUAAACAAAUAAAAAGAGAAAAACAAAAGAGAAAAUGGUAUAAAGAAAUCAUGUAGUAGUUAGUUUUUUCUCAAGAUGGGCAACUCAGCAGGGCUGCUAGGAGGAAAUUACAAAAGAACAUGACACUUAACUUCUCUAAUCAUUCAAAAUUUGUCAAGAUGCUGAUUAUAUAUUUUAAUUAGUAGUUAGAGAUUGUUAUAGUAACGUGUUCUAGCCAUCAAGAAUAAAACAAUGUCAUGGAAAAGAAGUGGCCUACUAGAAGAAUUAAUUUAAAGCAUUUACACCAAAAUAAAAACAAAUUGAAUAUUGGAAUUGGUCCUUCAUGAUAGCUUCCCCUUAACAACUAACUCUAACUAUAAAUACUGAAUCUUGCAUGCAACAUUUCAUAGUAAACACUAAGACCAAAACCUCUUCUUUCUAUCCAUGACUGCUAGGGCUAGUUGCCCCAAAAUGGGGCAUUUUUGGCCACAAAUGGCAAUGGCAUUGGCCAUUGUUUUGAUUUCUACUACUAUGGUUUCUGCUUCUGAUAGCUACAUUUACUCUUCGCCUCCACCACCUUAUGAGUACAAGUCCCCACCACCGCCGUCUCCCUCACCACCUCCUCCUUAUGUGUAUAAGUCACCACCUCCCCCAUCCUCGUCACCCCCACCACCAUAUGAGCACAAGGCUCCAUCUUAUGAGUACAAGUCACCACCACCACCAACUUCUUCACCACCACCUCCUUAUGUAUACAAGUCACCACCACCACCAUCUCCUUCACCGUCACCUCCUUAUGUGUACAAGUCACCACCACCUCCAUCCCCAUCACCCCCACCUCCUUACGUGUACAAGUCACCACCACCACCCUCGCCUUCCCCGCCCCCACCAUACUAUUACAAGUCUCCUCCACCACCCUCGCCUUCCCCACCGCCACCAUACUAUUACAAGAGUCCUCCACCACCCUCUCCUUCACCUCCACCUCCUUACUACUAUAAAUCGCCUCCACCACCCUCACCUUCCCCUCCCCCACCAUACUAUUACAAGUCUCCUCCACCACCAUCUCCCUCACCACCUCCUCCAUAUUACUACAAGUCUCCCACACCACCUUCACCCUCCUCUCCACCCCCAUAUAUACACAAGGAUCCACCAUACUAUUACAAGUCCCCACCACCCCCUUCACCAUCUCCUCCACCACCAUACUACUAUAAAUCUCCCCCACCACCCUCACCCUCUCCACCCCCACCUUACUAUUACAAGUCUCCUCCACCACCUUCACCAUCUCCUCCACCACCAUACUAUUACAAAUCUCCUCCUCCUCCAUCUCCUAUUCCCCAUACACCUUACUAUUACAAAUCUCCCCCACCACCUUCACCAUCUCCUCCACCACCAUACUAUUACAAAUCUCCUCCUCCUCCAUCUCCUAUUCCCCGUACACCUUACUAUUACAAAUCUCCCCCACCACCUUCACCAUCUCCUCCACCACCAUACUACUACAAAUCCCCUCCUCAUCCAUCUCCCAUUCCCCAUACACCUUACUAUUACACAUCUCCCCCACCACCUUCACCGUCUCCUCCACCACCAUAUUACUACAAAUCUCCUCCCCCUCCGUCUCCUAUUCCCCACACAC
rnacentral:lncRNA from 1 species